rnacentral:rRNA from 1 species
GAUCAUGGCUCAGGAUGAACGCUAGCUACAGGCUUAACACAUGCAAGUCGAGGGGAAACGACAUCGAAAGCUUGCUUUUGGUGGGCGUCGACCGGCGCACGGGUGAGUAACGCGUAUCCAACCUGCCCACCACUUGGGGAUAACCUUGCGAAAGUAAGACUAAUACCCAAUGACGUCUCUAGAAGACAUCUGAAAGAGAUUAAAGAUUUAUCGGUGAUGGAUGGGGAUGCGUCUGAUUAGCUUGUUGGCGGGGUAACGGCCCACCAAGGCGACGAUCAGUAGGGGUUCUGAGAGGAAGGUCCCCAACAUUGGAACUGAGACACGGUCCAAACUCCUACGGGAGGCAGCAGUGAGGAAUAUUGGUCAAUGGGCGAGAGCCUGAACCAGCCAAGUAGCGUGCAGGAAGACGGCCCUAUGGGUUGUAAACUGCUUUUAUAAGGGAAUAAAGUUAGUCUCGUGAGACUUUUUGCAUGUACCUUAUGAAUAAGGACCGGCUAAUUCCGUG